GGAUUAAUGAUAACUUCACAUAUGUUUCUCAUUGGAAUAUGAACAAAUUGAGUGACAAAAUCAUUUGUCAGCUGAGGUCC
ensembl:snoRNA SNORD116 Small nucleolar RNA SNORD116